rnacentral:lncRNA from 1 species
UAAAUAAAUAAAAAAGAAGUUACUUAAAAAUCAAUACAUCUUACUUAGCAUUAUGCUUUAAAAUAAUGCUUAAAAACUGUGACAGCAUAUCAAAUAUUGUUUAUCUAUCAUACAAUUAUAUAAAUGAAAGUAUUAGGGAGAUGAAAAUACAAGCAUUAGUAUACCAAAGUUUUAUACAAAGCACUUCUUUAUAAAUGAAUUAACAGAUCUCUAUUUAAACUAGAGGCUCUAAAGAGCCUGUGUCGCUCACCUUGGUCUAUGUGACUAUUAAACAAAGGAAGCAGAUGGAUUCAUGACAACAUUGUAUUUUGGUGAUGGUGAUGUGUUUGUACAUCUUACUUUACUGAACAUCCUUGCAGCUUACAAUUAUCUCUAUCUAUAAUGAAGUUGGCCCAGUAGUUUCAGUGGAAAAUGUUAGUAAAAAUUUACAAAUUUUAUAAAAAUUGUUGAAAAUUGACUAUAAAGGACAAUAACUCCUUAGGGGGUCAAUUGACCAUUUCGGUCAUGUUGACUUAUUUGUAAAUCUUACUUUGCUGAACAUUAUUGCUGUUUACAGUUUAUUUCUAUCUAUAAUAAUUUUCAAGAUAAUAACCAAAAACAGUAAAAUUUCCUUAAAAUUACCAAUUCAGGGGCAGGAACCCAACAACGGGUUGUCCGAUUUAUCUGAAAAUUUCAGGGCAGAUAGAUCUUGACCUGAUAAACAAUUUAUCCCCCUGUCAGAUUUGCUCUAAAGGCUUUGGUUUUUGAGUUAUAAGCCAAAAACUGCAUUUUACCCCUAUCUUCUAUUUUUAGCCAUGGCGGCCAUCUUGGUUGGAUGGCCGGGUCAUCGGACAUAUUUUUUAAACUAGAUACCCAAAAGAUGAUUGUGGAUAAGUUUGGAUUAAUUUGGCCCAGUAGUUUCAGAGGAGAAGAUUUUUGUAAAAGAUUACUAAGAUUUACGAAAAAUGGUUAAAAAUUGACUAUAAAGGACAAUAACUCCUAUAUGGGUCAACUGACCAUUUCGGUCAUGUUGACUUAUUUGUAAAUCUUACUUUGCUGAACAUUAUUGCUGUUUACAGUUUAUUUCUAUCUUUAAUAAUUUUCAAGAUAAUAACCAAAAACAGUAAAAUUUCCUUAAAAUUACCAAUUCAGG